CUACCAUGGUGGUAACGGGUAACGGGGUGUUAGGGCACGACACCGGAGAGGGAGCCUGAGAAACGGCUACCACAUCCAAGGAUGGCAGCAGGCGCGCAAAUUACCCAAUCCCGACACGGGGAGGUAGUGACAAUAAAUAACAAUACGGGGUUCUUUAGGAUCUCGUAAUUGGAAUGAGUACAAUUUAAAUCUCUUAACGAGGAACAAUUGGAGGGCAAGUCUGGUGCCAGCAGCCGCGGUAAUUCCAGCUCCAAUAGCGUAUAUUAAAGUUGUUGCAGUUAAAAAGCUCGUAGUUGAAUUUCGGGGUUAGUAGGUUGGUCAUGCCUCUGGUAUGUACUGGUCUCACUGAUUCCUCCUUCCUUAUGAACCGUAAUGCCAUUAAUUUGGUGUUGCGGGGAAUUUGGACUGUUACUUUGAAAAAAUUAGAGUGUUUAAAGCAAGCUAACGCUUGAAUACAUUAGCAUGGAAUAAUGAAAUAGGACGUUCGAUCUUAUUUUGUUGGUUUCUAGGAUUGACGUAAUGAUUAAUAGGGAUAGUUGGGGGCAUUAGUAUUCAAUUGUCAGAGGUGAAAUUCUUGGAUUUAUUGAAGACUAACUACUGCGAAAGCAUUUGCCAAGGAUGUUUUCAUUAAUCAAGAACGAAAGUUAGGGGAUCGAAGACGAUCAGAUACCGUCGUAGUCUUAACCAUAAACUAUGCCGACUAGGGAUCGGAUGAUG
rnacentral:rRNA from 1 species